GGGUUGCUCAACUUCGUAGACCAGUAGUGAUCCCACAAAGACAAGUUUCCUUGUCUGUGGUAAGGUCCAUUGUGUAAGGGACCACUUUGGCAUAGUGAUGGUUUGGACUAUCGAUCAAUGUUAUCCAUCUCCCCCCCCUCCCCCCUUGAGAUAGGCUCUCUAUGUUACUCUGUAGACAAGGCUGACCUUGAAUUCAGAGGUCUGCCUGCCUCCAUCUCCCAGAUGCUUCGAUUAAAGGUGUAAGCCACCAUUGCCUAGCUCUCUCUUCCCUUUUUUUCUGUAGCAUGUCCUUAGAUUCACUUACCUGCAAUUGAUGGAGUCAUUGGAUUCAGAGCCUGAAGACUGGAUACUUACAGUUGCAACACAGUUGUGUUAACUACCUGUUGUUCCUAUCAUUAAGGACUGUUUCUUCAUCUGCAGGGUUACAAGUGGGAGCUACUUUGAUCUGGCUUCUGGUUAAGACUUUAGAGGAGAUGCUAGAGAGAUGGCUCAGCAGUUAAGAGCUCUGGCUACUCAGAAGACCCAGGUUUAAUUCUCAGCACCCACAUGGCAACACACAAUUGCCUGUGAUUGCAGUUUCAGAGGAUCUGAGACCUGGAGUUUCAGUAGGGGAAUUGCCGAGAGCUGGAGGCCAGACUGGGUUAGACUGAGAACAAGCAUCUCAAACAGGUCCUCGAAGGAAGGAUGACAUGCAGAGCACUUUCUUGAGGAUGCUGGAUUUUCAGAGAGCCCACGCUUCUGAGAUGAAAGAAGGCAGCUUUGUUAUCAUCAAUAUGAAAGGACAAGUUUGGUAUCUAAUACUGCUGGG
rnacentral:lncRNA from 1 species